UGGGGAAUUUUGGACAAUGGGCGAAAGCCUGAUCCAGCAAUGCCGCGUGUGUGAAGAAGGCCUUCGGGUUGUAAAGCUCUUUCAGACGGAAAGAAACGGUUACGGCUAAUACCCGUGACUAAUGACGGUACCGUAAGAAGAAGCACCGGCUAACUACGUGCCAGCAGCCGCGGUAAUACGUAGGGUGCGAGCGUUAAUCGGAAUUACUGGGCGUAAAGCGUGCGCAGGCGGUUUGGUAAGGCAGAUGUGAAAUCCCCGGGCUUAACCUGGGAACUGCAUUUGUGACUGCCAGACUAGAGUGUAGCAGAGGGGGGUAGAAUUCCACGUGUAGCAGUGAAAUGCGUAGAUAUGUGGAGGAAUACCGAUGGCGAAGGCAGCCCCCUGGGCUAACACUGACGCUCAUGCACGAAAGCGUGGGGAGCAAACAGGAUUAGAUACCCCAGUAGUCCCUGAGCGGGCUGGCAAGGCGCAU
rnacentral:rRNA from 1 species